UACGAAGGGGGCUAGCGUUGCUCGGAUUGACUGGGCGUAAAGGGCGCGUAGGCGGUUUGCACAGUUGGGCGUGAAAUUCCUGGGCUUAACCUGGGGGCUGCGUUCAAUACGUGUAGGCUUGAGUUCGGAAGAGGGUCGUGGAAUUCCCAGUGUAGCGGUGAAAUGCGCAGAUAUCGGGAGGAACACCAAUGGCGAAGGCAGCUCGCUGGGACGGUACUGACGCUGAGACGCGAAAGCGUGGGGAGCAAACAGG
rnacentral:rRNA from 1 species